CUUGACACCCAUAAGAGGUCCAGCCUGCCCAGUGACUCUGUUCAACGGCCGCGGUAUCCUAACCGUGCGAAGGUAGCGUAAUCACUUGUUCUUUAAAUGAGGACUAGUAUGAAUGGCACCACGAAGGUUAUACUGUCUCCUUUUUCUAAUCAGUGAAACUAAUCUUCCCGUGAAGAAGCGGGAAUAUAAAUAUAAGACGAGAAGACCCUAUGGAGCUUUAAACAAACAUACAACUGCCUUCUUUUAUAAAUAUUUCAGAAGAAAACUUUUAUUUAGGCAUUUUGAUAUAGAGUUUUAGGUUGGGGUGACCACGGAGUAAAAAACAACCUCCGCAAUGAAAGGGACUCUUCCCCUAAGCUAAGGGCUACAACCCUAAGAAUCAAAAAAUUGACACCAAUUGACCCAAUAUAUUUGAUCAAUGAAC
rnacentral:rRNA from 1 species